rnacentral:rRNA from 1 species
UAGCGAAGGGGGCAAGCGUUGUUCGGAAUUACUGGGCGUAAAGGGCGCGUAGGCGGCCGAUCAAGUCAGGCGUGAAAUUCCCGGGCUCAACCUGGGGGCUGCGCUUGAUACUGAUUGGCUUGAAUGCGGGAGAGGAUAGUGGAAUUCCCAGUGUAGAGGUGAAAUUCGUAGAUAUUGGGAAGAACACCAGUGGCGAAGGCGGGAUCCUGGGCCAGUACUGACGCUGAGGAGCGAAAGCGUGGGGAGCAAACAGG